GCUACGGGUGGCAGCAGUGGGGAAUAUUGCACAAUGGGGGAAACCCUGAUGCAGCGACGCCGCGUGAGUGAAGAAGGAUUUCGGGAUGUAAAGCUCUAUCAGCAGGGAAGAAAAGGACGGUACCUGACUAAGAAGCCCCGGCUAACUACGUGCCAACAGCCGCGGUAAUACGUAGGGGGCAAGCGUGAUCCGGAUUUACUGGGGGUAAAGGGAGCGUAGACGGCAGCGCAAGUCUGAAGUGAAAGCCCGCGGCCCAACUGCGGGACUGCUUUGGAAACUGCCCGGCUAGAGUGCUGGAGAGGUAAUCGGAAUUCCUAGUGUAGCGGUGAAAUGCGUAGAUAUUAGGAGGAACACCAGUGGCGAAGGCGGCUUACUGGACAGUACCUGACGUUGAGGCUCGACAGCGUGGGGAGCAAACAGGAUUAGAUACCCCAGUAGUC
rnacentral:rRNA from 1 species